CAUCAGAUGACUGAAAGCAAG
rnacentral:tRNA from 2 species